GGGGGGUGGGCUCAACCUUUGAGGACAACUUGGGGGCCCGAAGGAGGCUUUGAUGAGCCGGCUCCCCGACGGGUUCCCCCCUGGGUCUUUGGGCUGUGGCGGAGAGGGCUGUGUCGGUCUAUGGAAGCUGCCCCCGCCUCGGACCCGCCGUUUCCUCCCUGCUGCAGGAAGCGCCUGCACUGUCAGGCGUCUGUGUGGCGUGGGCUGGGCCCUUCCAGCCCUGCUGUGACACGGGCCAGGCCGGCGGGGGCCUCUGGCGGGGCCCACGGCCGCCCCUUCCCACCCCUCUCUCAGCCACAGUCCCAGAGGCCGUUGGGGGGGGGCGGGCCUCCUGUGACUCGCGGAGACGGUCCUUACCCUGAUUCGGAGUAGCAGGUCGGCAAACCAGGCCGCCAGGCCCAUCAUGGAGGGGUAGGCCCGGGCCACCCACGAGUCGGGCACAGUGUCAUAGAACAGAGCCACGGACAGGUCCUCCAUGUCGGUCGUGAUGGUCAGCUCCCCCUAAGGGACAAACGGAUAGGGCGCUGGUAGGCACGCAGACCGGGCCGGUCACACACCUUGUCUCCCCUGCCCCCCCGUGCCAAGGGCCCUCGAGAGAAAGCAGUUUGCCACGGAGCCCCGGUGUGCGCCACCCUGGCCUGGCAGGCCUGCAGCUCAGGACCAGGGAACCAAGAGGAGACCGCACUUCGCUAGCACCCAGGGCCGGUCCCCGCCCCCGCCCCCGCGUCCCGCAGCCGCCUCGCGAGCCCCAGGUUCAGUUCCUUCAGUGAGCGGCGCAUCUCGUUGGUAAGGAUGUUCAUCCUCUCGCACUCCUGGAAGGCGACCACCACGUACGGGGUCUUCUCGGCUGACUUCGCCAUGAUCUCGGCCAUGUUGAAUGUCUCCGGGACCUUCUCCAGGAUAUCCUCCAGCACAGCCUUCACCUAGAGGACCGUGCGGAACAGUUUCUCUGAGGUGACUGUCAGAAAGCCGAUCUCUGCAUUGGGGUGCAGGCCGUACAGGUAGGGACUCUCGGGGGGCAGGUUCUCAUUGAUGUACUCGUGGUAACCCUGCAGAGGGGCGGUCGGUGAACAGGGCUGCCAAGCAACCUGUGUCCGCCGUUGACGAAGCAUUUCUGACCAGAAUGUUCCGCCCACGCCUUGCCCUCUGUACCAACCCCACUGGUUCUCUAACACCCCCCACCCCAGCCACAUGAACGAAGCCUCCACGCCCCCUCCCCAGAGGCUGUGUUUCAAGCCGUCCCGGCCUUUUUGCUCAAUCAUUGAUACUCUGUCUGUGACGCCAGGCUGGCCCCCCCGGAGCCGGCCAGGACAGCAUUGCCCUUUGCUGCUGUUGCGUCACAGGGUGAGCUUGUGUCCCCGAGAGAGGGCCCCCCUCACCUUGUAGUCCAGGUUGGGGGGGAUCUGAAAGCCCGGGGCCAGCAGGGUCUCGCCCUCCAGCAUCUCUGCCCGGACGUACUCCGCCAGGUACGUCCUGCAGAGCCGGCGGUCCCAGUCGUCCGUGAUGUGGCCGCCGUACAUGAUUUCUCCAAACAAGUAGCGAAGGUCGUCCCAGGGCACCUUAGGAAGGACGGAGGCGGUGAGGAGAAGUACCCCCUGCCCCGUUGGGGUCGGUAAGAACCGACAGUCGGCCAUCCGUGUGAGGUGAGGGCCGGCUCCUCCUGUCACCCCGUCGCCGCCUUGUCCGCUGCUCCGUAGGGUUACCAGGCCUCCCCUCACCCCCCUCCCCCUGCCCCGCCCCGGCGGUGUCUCACCCGGAGGCCCGCCCCUCCUUGGCGGGGUCCCGCCUUCUCUGGCAAGGGCUGCCCAGCGGCUCCCCUCUGCCCACAGCCUGGCCUCUGUGUCCCAGGACGUCCCGCUCCGAGGCCUGCCCUGCAGCCCCAACUUGUGCCCUCGCUCGGGCCACCCUUGUGACCCCCUGCUCAGAAAUGUGCAGCCACCCGUGACUCCUGACCAGAGCGGUUUAAUUCUGUGCCGACUGGGGGGUGUGGACGCUCGGGCGCCGUUUCUGUUGGCCAGUCGGUCUGUGCAGUGUGUCCGUCCAGUGGGUCUUUCUUGCCAUCCCGCUGGGCUUGCCUGGCGCCGAGUUUCCCGGCGCGUCGCCCCUCGUGCUGCGUGUGCCCCGCGGGGCUUUGCAGCACCGGGAGCUUCAGCAGGGGAGCUCACCUGCCCAACCUGGGGCGUCUGACCUUAUGCUCAGCCCGGAACGCUCCUUUCCACCACCACUCACCAAGGCGACGCCCGACUUCCGAAGCCAGCUCAAAUGCCGCCUCCUCCGGGAAGCCAGCGGGUGAGCUCCGGCUUCCAGGUGCCAGCACAUCGCUGUUCCUUGCACACACAGCGCCGCCCGAGGGGGAUCCUUGUAGUCCAGGUUAGGGGGGAUCUGAAAGCCCGGGGCCAGGCCCGGGAGCCACAGAUGGCAGCCACACGCGAGGUUUCAGAUUUGCCAGCACCCACGUAAGAGCCCUGUUCCAGCAGCAGUAACCAGCAUGGAGACGAUGAAUUAAUGAGGUAUUUUCCGUUCUCUCACCUGCCCCAAGAGUACUCAGUACAGCUCACAUCCCACCCGCAGUUUGGACUGGCGGUCGGUCCGCGGCUGCCUCCUGACACGGUUAAGAGCUUGCUGAUUGAACGGUUGAUGGAUUUGGUCUCCUUUUACUCAAAAUAUUCACAUGCUCUAAAUUGUCAUUUUGUGCCUGAAAAUUUGUGCUCUGCCUGGUUAUCUUGGGAAUGUGCUGAGCUGCGUAUUUCUGUGUUUUGCCUGUUUGCUUUGGGGACAGUCUGUUUGUUCUGGGAGGCCCUCUGGCCCCACGAGUUGCCUCCUGUCCGUCCCCGCAGGGUGGGGGCCGUGGGACCAACAAGCAGGGACGGUGCCGGUGGGAGUCCUGGAGUGCAUGUCGGAGACGGUGCCCGGCCUCUCCCGAGCGACUGCUCGGAGUCCGGGGCGGGGGGAUAUGAGCGUGGGACGUGGACAUCAUCACAGGUGUUACCUAACGACAGAGGAGGGGUCCCGCCACCCCCAGCCUGGUGCACUUGGCUCGGCGGGACGCGCAUUCCUGUGUCCUUCACUGCUGUCCGCUGGGCACGUGUCCUCGAGCAGUUUCCUACCCACCUUGACUUCUGUACGUGUGUACGAUGGGGCGAAGAGUCUGAAUAAACGUCUUUAAAAAACUCGA